GUAGAUGGGAGCCCCUCAUCACCAAAAUCAUGUGGAGGAAUCUCAUUGCUCAAGCCUUAUAUCAGGUAGCUAUCUUACUUGCACUACAGUUCAAGGCACAGUCUAUCUUUGGUGUGAAUGAGAAAGUUAAGAAUACAAUCAUCUUCAAUACUUUUGUACUGUGUCAAGUCUUCAAUGAAUUCAAUUCAAGAAACAUGGAAAAGAAGAAUAUAUUCAAAGGGAUACACAGAAACAAAUUGUUCCUAGUGAUCAUUGGAAUUACCAUACUUCUUCAAGUAUUGAUGGUGGAGCUUCUGACGAGGUUUGCCAGUACUGAGAGGCUAAAUUGGGGGCAAUGGGGUGCUUGCAUUGGCAUCGCUGCUCUGACUUGGCCAAUUGGAUUUCUAGUAAAGUGCAUUCCUGUUCCUUUUUAGAAAGUGAGAAAAGCUCCCUCAGCCUGGAAAAACAUAGCCAAUGAUCAGUUUUCUCUUUCUAUCCCUUUCCUACCAAAGUGCAUUCCUGUUUUCAGAAAGUGAACCUUAGAUGCUUUGGUAUUGUUUUGGUAGCUGCCAUUCUGUUAGUUGUUUCUUUCAUAAAAUAUUUAGAUUCAAAAUAUGGGUAAACAUAUAAUCCAUGCUUACUUAAUUCUCUCUAUUACGCAAUAUAAUAUUCUAAAAUGGAAGUAUUACUUUUACCAAUAAUUAUUCGAACUAUUAAAAUUUAAAUUCAGUUCUCUUUCUAUUAUAAUAAACAGCAUGCAUGUGCCUGAAGCUGAAGCCAGCCACUUCACCUUCGUUCCUUCCGUUUUCCUCCAUAAACAACAAUCAAUCUUUUUCUGUCCCAUUAAUUUGCAGAUUCAUCGACGUAAUUCUAUUUCUACAGUUUCUUGUUAUGAACUUUUGUACUUCUUUUUUAUGAUGUCUCAACGUAUAUCAGCCUUUAAUUCUAAAACCAAGUUUGACCCUUUUUCUUUCAUAUAAAUUUGAUAUUUAAGAAAUAUAUAUUUUAAAAAUUAAAUUCAUUAAUUUAUCCCACAACCAUAAAAAUGAUAUGAGCUGUAGGCCGCUCAUGAGAAGUCUGUCCUGUUGGCUUUUUUCUAACAAACAAAAUAAGGUCCCUCAGGCAUGUGAAUAAAGGGCUCAUCUGAAGUGCUUCCCAGGUAGUGCAAAAGGGUAGGGGAAGGAUGGGUUCCUAAUCAUAACUACACAUCCUUCCCCUUGUUUCACCUACAGUUCAUGAGUGAACCACUAGCCAACUUACUUAUGUGAUCUAUUCCAAACUUGCUGCAAAACAGUAGUUGGAGUUGAUGAACGACUGGCCAACUUCAAAGUAUAUAAUAUGCACCAACCAUUCAUUCUUCCUGGAUUUUGCAUAUCAAGAAUGAGUUAUCAAAUUAAAUAUAUGUUUAGAACCUAAAAAAAAUUAUAUAUAUUGUAAAACUGGGUAACUAAAAUCUUUAAAAAUCUCAACUUUCAUCGUAUAUAUAUAUAUAUAUAUAUAUAUAUAUAUAUACAUAUAUAUAUGAAGCUAACAGCAAAUCACAGGUCAUCAUUAUACAAACCUGGGUUUGGUUUUGACAAUAAAUAUGAGUCUACCAAACAAAUUAAAGAAAGAAAGAUACAUCAUUGGUUUUUAGUGAAUUCAAGAACGUUAUAGUAGUGAGCGAGCAAUUGUAAACAAGUUAAAGCACCGAUAGAAUAGAAUUGAUACGUAUGAAACAGUAGCUAGUGAGAGACAGAAACUGAUAAAAAGCGACUACCUUUGACCAUAAUUAUAAAAGUGAAUCAACCUUAAUCCUUACAAGAUUUCGAGGUCCCUCAAAUCUUAAUCACCAUAUAAAAGUAGGGACCCGGAGAGUAAAGCUGAUAAAGGUCGUAAUCUUCUUCAGUUUUAACUUCUGAGUUUUAGAAAGGCAGGUAAUUUUCUUCAAACAGCACCGUGAUAAUGCCAAAUUGCCAAUUACUUCAACAGUUUCAACUGGCGCAAAUGAUCCAUCAACCAUUGCCUAAUGGGCGGUUUAUGUACUUAUAUUUUCACAGAACAAGAAUAUGCAGUUGGCAUCACGAAAUUCAUAACAAGAUAUAAUAUCUCGGGAAAAUGCUCCUUUUGGCCCCUAAUAUUUGACUCUAGGAACAAAUAUGCCUCUAAACUAAAAAUCUGAUACAUAUAACUGUAAAAAUCACAUUUUUGUGUGGUAUCUGCCCCUUAACUAACAGAAACAUUAUUCGAAGUACUCAGCUGUUAAUCCAAUAUCGCGGUCCACAAAUAACUGACAAAAUCGGAGAUGUUGUACGAGUAUAUAUAUAUAUAUAUAUAUAUAUAUAUGAUAAAGAACAAAAUAGAAUGUCUUGCAUUCAUUUUUAGUUUCGUCAACUUCUAAUACUAGGGAACAUUAAUAGACUAAGUAGAUUUCUUUUGACUUCUCUAUUCUUCUACUGUCAACCUUAAUCAGAUUAUGUAUUGGUUCACGAAUAUUUCUGAAGCUCAAAAUCUAAUGGAAAAAAACACUCAUUUUAGCUCCUAAUGUUUAACUCGAGAAACAUGUAUGCCCUCAACUAAAACUUAGAAUAUAUAACUGUGAAAUAUUAUGUUUUUGCUGUAAUAUUGCCCCUUAACUAACGGAACAACCUAUUAGAAAUUCUCUCUUCUGUUUGCUUAAGAUGACUUGGCUUCUUUGUGGGCAGCGUUGGCUGCCAAUUCCACUUCCAAUAUCACCAGCCACCCAGGCCAUCACUUGGCCAGACGCAUUACGAAAAGAAUACCAACGGUCAUUAAUCAACAUACUUGCAAAUUUAUGACUAGAGUUAUCUUACUUGACUCGACUUCAAAAUCUGUCACAUCAAAAAGUAACGACUUACUGAUUAAAAUAUAGGGUUGUUGCCACAUUGAGUCAAUAGUUUAGUCAUCUUGACGUGCACAGACGUAGAGAAAGUUCAUAUCACUAAGCAAGAGAAAAGGGAAAGAAAUAAGAAAGUAAACAAAAAAAAAUUAUAUUAUAAAAUUUAUAAUUAAUUUGAUUGAAAUAUGACUAUUUUACUGUAUAAAAGACUAAGAAAGUAAACAAAAAAAAAUAAAACAAAAAGUAUUAAAUUUAGUUAUCAGCGAUUCGUAUUAGAUGACUCAAGUCCACAUUACUAUAUAGAUAUCUGGGUGCAUAAUCUCAUAUCCAUAUUAGUGCAUGUAUCUGAAUUCAUAAUAUAAUUUACUGGCGUUGUGAAUACGCAGGAAUAAUCGAUUGGGUUAUACUUGAAAAUUAUUAAAAAAAUAAUCACAUUGAAUUGAUUUUUGCUUGCUUGUUAUCGGCAACAACGUAUGCAGCAGGAAAUUCACCAAUUACUUGGUAUUUUCUUCUCCAGUUCUUCCGUAGUCUGCAUGCAAGGAUUAAAACAAGUUCCAAGGCCCUCGAGACUCGUAUGUCUUCGCUAGAAGAGUGAAUGAAAACUGAUCAGAAAUGGGUUUAGAAAGGAGAAAGACAGAUUAACAAAGAAAAUAAAUCCCAAUGAAAGCAGGGACGUUAUUAGUAAUUCUUUUUUACUUUCAUAAAUUACCCGUGAAUAGAUGAGGAAAGUUUAACGACUCCUUACUUGCAGGAAACUACGGGGUAAUUGCAUGCUUUAAAAGAGAAGCUACAGUGAACUUUCUGCAUGAUCGCUGUUUCCUUCCUCUUUAUAUAGAGUCUCUUGAACCCUAUUUCUUCAAUAAUUCAUU
rnacentral:lncRNA from 1 species